CCUCGGGGAUCUGCUGCGGGCAGAUGAAGUGAAUAUGCGUGUCGAUGGCGCCGGCGGUGACAAUCUUGCCCUCGGCCGCAAUGACAUCGGUACAGCUUCCGACGAUCAUGUUGGGGUCCACGCCGUCCAUGACGUCCGGGUUGCCCGCCUUGCCGAUUCCCACAAUCAUGCCCCCCUUGACGCCAAUGUCGGCCUUGUAGAUGCCGGUCCAGUCGACGAUGAGGGCGUUGAUGAUGACCAGGUCCAGCGUCUCGGCGUCGGUCCGUCCCGUAGCCUGCCCCAUGCCCUCGCGCAG
rnacentral:sRNA from 1 species